GACGAACGCUGGCGGCGUGCUUAACACAUGCAAGUCGAACGGAAAGGCCCUGCUUUUGUGGGGUGCUCGAGUGGCGAACGGGUGAGUAACACGUGAGUAACCUGCCCUUGACUUUGGGAUAACUUCAGGAAACUGGGGCUAAUACCGGAUAGGAGCUCCUGCUGCAUGGUGGGGGUUGGAAAGUUUCGGCGGUUGGGGAUGGACUCGCGGCUUAUCAGCUUGUUGGUGGGGUAGUGGCUUACCAAGGCUUUGACGGGUAGCCGGCCUGAGAGGGUGACCGGCCACAUUGGGACUGGGAUACGGCCCAGACUCCUACGGGAGGCAGCAGUGGGGAAUAUUGCACAAUGGGCGGAAGCCUGAUGCAGCAACGCCGCGUGCGGGAUGACGGCCUUCGGGUUGUAAACCGCUUUCGCCUGUGACGAAGCGUGAGUGACGGUAAUGGGUAAAGAAGCACCGGCUAACGACGUGC
rnacentral:rRNA from 1 species